rnacentral:rRNA from 1 species
UACGAAGGGGGCUAGCGUUGCUCGGAAUCACUGGGCGUAAAGGGCGCGUAGGCGGGUCUUUAAGUCAGGGGUGAAAUCCUGGAGCUCAACUCCAGAACUGCCUUUGAUACUGGGGAUCUUGAGUCCGGGAGAGGUGAGUGGAACUGCGAGUGUAGAGGUGAAAUUCGUAGAUAUUCGCAAGAACACCAGUGGCGAAGGCGGCUCACUGGCCCGGUACUGACGCUGAGGCACGAAAGCGUGGGGAGCAAACAGG